GAAACUCAAAAGUCUACAUGUAAAAGCCAUUGGAAUGUAAUAGAGAGGUUCUAAUUUCUAAUUGGAACAAAGUUGGAAUUACAGCCUUGCUACUCCCUUGCUGUGCAACACUGUGCGAGUGGCCUUAGUUUGCUACCUUCAAAACAGAAAAGGAAAAGACUAGAAGGUUUUGAAUUCUUUCAUUUCAAAGAAUUGGACUAUGAGAUGCUCUGUGUCCUUUCUAGGUCUUGAAUUUUUUUAUCAGGAAUAGGUGAAGAAUGAUA